GAUUCUACUAAAAGGCUUCCAAAUGUUUCCUCUUUGGGGUCUAGGAUUUGCCUGGCUGAUUUUUGGCUUAACCACUAAUUCUGAGCCUGCAGUGGGAGCUA